GCUGGAAGCCUGUGAAGCUGGGCUUGUGGGUUCCUAACUUCCACACUCCUAUAGCAGGUGGGGGGUAUCGAUACUGCUCAUCAGUGGAUAUAGGAUGAAUGAAUGAGACUUGUGGCUGGCUGUUCGUCUCAUAAAUCUUGGAGACUCCUGUGGCUGAAAGUUCUGUUUGCUCCUGCCAUCCUCUCCUCAGCUGGAGCCCAAACCCUGACAGAGCCCAAGGGCUUCUCAAAACCAACACAGAUCAGAAAUCUCCCAGAAAGAAGUGUCACACCCAGUGUCUCCCAAGCUCCUGUGUCCCCAGAGAGCUUUCCUCAAGAAGCAGCUCGAGAGGUGAGUAGUUCACCAAGAGUACUCUG